rnacentral:rRNA from 1 species
AGUGAACGCUGGCGGUAGGCCUAACACAUGCAAGUCGAACGGCAGCACAGUAAGAGCUUGCUCUUACGGGUGGCGAGUGGCGGACGGGUGAGGAAUACAUCGGAAUCUACUUUUUCGUGGGGGAUAACGUAGGGAAACUUACGCUAAUACCGCAUACGACCUACGGGUGAAAGCAGGGGAUCUUCGGACCUUGCGCGAUUGAAUGAGCCGAUGUCGGAUUAGCUAGUUGGCGGGGUAAAGGCCCACCAAGGCGACGAUCCGUAGCUGGUCUGAGAGGCUGAUCGGCGACACUGGAACUGAGACACGGUCCAGACUCCUACGGGAGGCAGCAGUGGGGAAUAUUGGACAAUGGGCGCAAGCCUGAUCCAGCCAUACCGCGUGGGUGAAGAAGGCCUUCGGGUUGUAAAGCCCUUUUGUUGGGAAAGAAAAGCAGCAGGUUAAUACCCCGCUGUUCUGACGGUACCCAAAGAAUAAGCACCGGCUAACUUCGUG